rnacentral:rRNA from 1 species
UACGAGGGGGGCAAGCGUUGUUCGGAAUUAUUGGGCGUAAAGGGCGCGUAGGCGGUGCGGUAAGUCUGAUGUGAAAUCUCCGGGCUCAACUCGGAGUCUGCAUCAGAAACUGCCGUGCUCGAGUGUGGGAGAGGUGAGUGGAAUUCCCGGUGUAGCGGUGAAAUUCGUAGAUAUUGGGAAGAACACCGGUGGCGAAGGCGGCUCUCUGGACCGUAACUGACGCUGAGGCGCGAAAGCGUGGGGAGCAAACAGG